rnacentral:snoRNA from 1 species
UCACAUGAUGCUUUUCGUAUUUUUAUACGCUGGAAAUUACCGACCGAGACCUUCGGGUCGUCGACGAUAUCAAAUGGCUAUUUCUGAUG